rnacentral:lncRNA from 1 species
CGUGAUGUUUUGGGAUUGUCUUGAAUCUGUGAUUUGGGAAUUUUGGUUUUGAGUGGAAAUUUUUCAUAGAUGAUUGGGGGUUUUCAGAAAAAAAUUGAAAUCAUCACACAUGUUUUCUCAGUUUCCUUGUAACAAAAUAAACCACUAGUAUUUUAGAUCAUGUUUUCUGAAUUAUGUCAUCAAUGGCUGUAGGAAGAUUUACGCAUCAAGUUAUAAAAUUUAGUUACAUUUAUGCAUUUUCAGGUUGUUUGAUACUGCAGUCCAAUCUCUUACACAGAAAUGCCUGUAGGAUGAUACUAGUUGGUCUUGUUUUGCUUGACAUUUUUUUAAGUAAUUUGCUAUUGCAUUGGAGAUGUUUUACCUAACAAGUUAAUAUUGUUUUCAUUUGAGUAAUGCACCAGUUUAUGCAAUGGUGAGAUUACUGUUAUCACAUUAUUCAACAAAGUUAUAUUUCAGUUUUAUGUAUUAGGCAAUGUGAUAGUAACUUCACCGUCACAUAGGCUAAUGCUAAAUACCAAAAAAAUUGGAUAGUAUUACUCUUAUCAUUUCAGUUCUUGCAUUUCUGUGUAGCAUGCCGGGAAAGAACUCCGGACUUUGUUAUAACUGUAGAGGGAAGGGUCACUUGUUUGCGGAUUGCCCAAACAAAAGGCGAUGCCCCUUGUGUAAAUGUGGAAUUGUGAAGUGCUUUGAGGUCAAGAGGGAGACAAAGAACAAGGGAAGAUUGUUCGAGUGCUGCAGUGCUAAUUGUAAAUAUUGGGCAUGGGUCGAUGAGGGAGAAUCAAGCAGUGGGUCAAGUAAUGUUACCACGAACUCGAAUAAUCAUGCAGCACUUGAAAGAUGUUCAGCAGUUCUCUCGCAUGUUCCAGUCUCUUUGUCACGUGGUCUCUAAGGAACGAAACAUUGAGAUUUCUUUAAAUGUGACAAUAAGGAAUGGCAACGAAAGUGCGGAAGUGGAUGUGAAAGGAAAGGGGCCAGCAUGAUUUGUGGUUAGCUGAAUAAGUGAUUAGUGUAGUUGAUGUAUUUUGUUAAUAUUGGUGUUUGCACUAAGGUGUUGGCCAGAAAAUUAUUCCUCGCAAACGGUCAUGUUGUUGUCUUAAUGUGAUUAUUUUGGCUUGAAGUUAUUUUUAUGCAAAGCUAUUGUGUGUGAAAUAUUAUUUUUGGUUACCGUACAUAAA